GGAUUAGAUACCCUGGUAGUCCACGCUGUAAACGAUCGUUACUAGAUAUCAGCCCCACUGGGUUGGUGUCCAAGCGAAAGCGAUAAGUAACGCACCUGGGGAGUACGCUCGCAAGGGUGAAACUCAAAGGAAUUGACGGGGGCCCGCACAAGCGGUGGAGCAUGUGGUUUAAUUCGAUGAUACGCGAGGAACCUUACCUGGACUCGAAUGCGCGUGACCGUGCCAGAGAUGGCACUUCUCUUCGGAGCACAAAGCAAGGUGCUGCAUGGUUGUCGUCAGCUCGUGCCG
rnacentral:rRNA from 1 species